GAAGCAGAGAGCGACGCUUUGAAAUUGUAAGAACAAACAAAAAUAGUAGCAGCACUACCGGCGCUGGAGCCGGAGUUGUAGAAGAGAAGGAUGAAGUUCGCCGUCAAUAAGGGAUGGAGCAACGGAAGAGCCCGGUCAGGGGUUCUGCAGCUGGGCAGCUGUCCUUUCCCAAUUCAGACUCCCGCUCUGCUCCUCACAACCCGCAAAGGCCUGCCCGCUUUCAUCUCUCCGGACCUCCUUACCUCCUCUCUUCCUUCUCCGGAUUCUCACCUGCUCCAGUUCAGCCCGCUUCACUUCUUAGAGGGUAUUUCUCCUAAAACAAUAUCUAACAUUGGAGGACUGCACCAAAUGCUUAGUCUGCACCAACACAUAUUCGCGGCCGUACCGCGGGAUUCCAUCAUUGCCCUUCCUGAACAUGACAGCACUAACAAAUAUGGAGCGUCUUUCCAGACUCCUGGAGGCCGUCUUCUGAUAAAACCUGCAGAAUACGUGGAACUUGUUUCUUCAAUGAAGCCUGACUUUUGGGUCACUUUGGCUGAUGAAGUUCCUGCUUGGGUUUCUGAUAAGAGGAACAGAACCUCAGUUGACCGCACUCUGAGAUGGCUCGACGAUUGCCUUUCACUCAAUAAGACAGGUACUACUAUUUUUGGAUCCAUUGUAGGAGGCUCCAGCAUUGAAGAACGGCAUCGGUGUGCACAAGAAGUUGCACAAAGAAAUGUAUCAGGAUAUUGGAUUGGUGGGUUUGGGCUUGGAGAAAGUAUGGACGAGCGGGCUGCUCUUCUCACUGCUGUUACGGACAAUUUACCAGAGGAUAUGCCAAGGCAUGUCUCUGGACUUGGACUUCCAGAGGAGGUGUUGCAGGGAGUUGCUGCAGGCAUUGACCUAUUUGACUCUACGUAUGUUUACCAUCUUACACUUGGUGGAUUUGCUCUAACCUUUCCUCUUGAGAGAAAUAAGGGUGACAAUGCCGAUUACCAGCUAAGUGAUUCGGGAGGUGAUGACAUGAAGAUCAAUCUGAAAGCUACUAUAUAUAGGAAAGAUACAUCACCAAUUGUUGAAAGCUGCAACUGCUUCACAUGCCAGAAUCAUACAAAGGCAUAUUUGAAUCACUUGUUCAACGUUCAUGAAAUGUUGGCACAAACUCUAUUGGAGAUACACAACACACACCAGUAUCUGGGAUUCUUCUGCUCAAUUAGAAAGGCUAUUGAAGAAGGCAAGUUUGAGCAAUUCCGGAGGAACUUUGUUGAAAGUAGACGUGAAUGUCUCUUUGCUGCUGCAUCGAGUGAUUAACUUCAUGGUAUUCAGACCCUUUUUUCUUUUUUUUGUUUUUUUGAAAUCUGAAUUUUGGUUUGGCGCAACAAUUGCUCGUGGUGGUGACUUGUAAGGAGAUCAAAUGAAUUCAUUCUGGACUCUCUGAUGAUGUUGUUAAUACUUUUGAUGACCAAAUGGAAUGUGCUAUUUUUUACGAGGAAAUGUUAAGCUUGUACCGGAAAGAAGGGAGGUGGAUUACCAGUUACUGGUUUUGAGCGAUUUUGUGGUGUUGACAGUUAUGGAUGCCGUGAACGGUGCUAGUUAUGGAUGCAGUGGAUGGAUUUGUAAGGAACGUUUCCUUGCAUGCUCGUUAAGUUUUUGAUUUGGGGGAUUGAAUUUCAUAAAUUUUCUUAACUUUCUGGACUCCUCUAUGAAGUCCUCUUCGUGUUGAAAAACCAGGAGUAGAAAGAACAAGAGACAGCUCUCAGAUAUAUACUACAUACGUUGCUUGUUCCUCACCAGUCUGGCGGUGGUUGGAAUUAUGAGCAACAGAGUACGAGGCAGGCAUGUCCAUGGUACCGGGUGCAGGACGGGCACUCACAGAACAGACUCUUGGGUCCAAAAGGGCAGGGGCGGCUUGACUGCGUCUCGAGGGACCGGACUGGUAUUUGCUUACGUUGAAUAGUUUGAGUGAGUCUUUAAUUUGUCACUUCAUUCCGACCAAAUGUUUUUAUUUUCUUUUCUUUUUUUCCGUCUGAAAACCCUUGAGGUUGACCAAGAAAACAUGUGCUCGUGACCAGAUCAUAUUGGGCUGCAUGCUUUGCAGUCAUGUCCGCACGUUCAUAUUGUGUUGUGGUAAGGUAUUAAUCACUUCGAUGAGUGGUUGAAAUAGGUGGGUAGGAUAGGAAUAUGAGCAUUUUUUUGGGUAGCUUUGAAAUUGUCUUUGAUUAAGAUAAGGAAUAAAAAGAAAAAGACGACACUGGACACUGCA